CACACAUCCACCUCAGCCUCCCCUGACCUGGACCUCACUGGCCUGGGCCUCACUUAACCUGGGCUUCACCUGACCUUGGCCUCACCUGACUUGGACCUCGCCUGUCCCAAGCUUUACCUGACCUGGGCCUCAACUCACCUGAACGUCUCCUGACCUGGGUUUAACCUGUCCUGGAACUCACCUGGCCUUGGCUUCCCCUGACCUGGACCUCAUCUGGCCUGGGCUUCACCUGGCCUGGGCCUCACCUGACCUGGACCUCAUCUGGCCUGGACCUCACCUGGCCUGGACUUCACCUGGCCUGGGCUUCACCUGACCUGGACCUCACCUGGCCUCGGGCCUCACCUGCACCUGCUCCAGGUCUUGCUGGAGCCUGAGUAGCACUGAGGGUGCAGAAGCUCAUCCAGGGUUGGGGAAUGACUCUAGAAGUCUCCCACAUCUGACCUUUCUGGGUGGAGGCAGCUGGUGGCCCUGGGAAUAUAAAAAUCUCCAGAAUGA
rnacentral:lncRNA from 1 species